UCGUUGGGCCGCGUCCACAGAUUCUUCAGAUGUACACCAGUGAAAAUCAAAUCGAGAAUGCCGAAGCCCAAGCGGCAACCUCGACUCGUCUCCUGAAUAAGUGAGACACUUCUUAACGAAAUCUUCCCCGGAUGUAUUGAGGACGUUUGGGAGUUCUUUGACCAUGUCGUGCUUUCCCUUAGAGGCAUUUUUCGACUUCCUCCGCUCUUUACGCGUAGUAUUUGGCUUCUUUGUCGGCUUAGGCGAUUUCACAUCGGACAGCCCGGCGCACUCUAGGCUCGUGACGUCACCUUUUGAAGUGUGGCCGCCCUGCCAACGUCCAAUGAGGAGACUGGACGUUUCCACGAGAACUGUAUUUAAGGCGCCCCCGAGGGCUGGGAGUAGACAUAUUUCACCAUAUACGCCUGAAACUCGCCCGGGCUGUACUGACCGCACACGUGGAUCUAAGGGGAUCGAACGGCGUCCGCCGUCGGCAUGGCAUCGGUGUCCUUCAAGCUUUCCGCGGUCUUGCUCCUGGCGACGCUGCUGGUGAUGCAAGGGGCCUACAGCCAAAUCACUUUCUCCAAAAACUGGCAGCCGGGCAAGCGUUCUGAGAUAUGCUCUCAGAAAGAGGCACAAGCCAUCAUCAAACUACGGCAUUUUCUGCUGGAAGAGGCCAAGCACCUCGAAGAAUGUCGCCUGUUUUAUGGGAACGAAGGUGCCAACGAAGACUGAAAGGAAUGAUGGUUGUGCCGUGUGUACCGUGUCUAUUAUUACCAUUCAUCACAGAAGCAUCCUCAGAGCUCGUGCUCGUAUAUAAGGUGUAAAAACAAAUAAAUGCACCAAAUAACACUGCACAGAUUAUGUGUACGGCAAUACAUGCGAAAAUAAAUGAGCAAUAUAACACCCCA